rnacentral:rRNA from 1 species
CACGUAGGGGGCUAGCGUUGUCCGGAUUUAUUGGGCGUAAAGAGCGUGUAGGCGGCCAGGUAGGUCUGCUGUGAAAACUCGAGGCUCAACCUCGAGACGUCGGCGGAAACCAUCUGGCUAGAGUCCGGAAGAGGAGAGUGGAAUUCCUGGUGUAGCGGUGAAAUGCGCAGAUAUCAGGAAGAACACCCGUGGCGAAGGCGGCUCUCUGGGACGGUACUGACGCUGAGACGCGAAAGCGUGGGGAGCGAACAGG